rnacentral:rRNA from 1 species
UUAAUUGUAAACUGGAAUGAACGGUCUAACAAAAUUAUAUUUAUUUUUAAUAGAUUAUUAAAAUUUUUGUUUUAUGUAAAAACACAUAAAUAGUUAAAAGGGACGAUAAGACCCUAAAAGCUUUAUUAUCGAUUUAUUCUUAUUGUUAAUAUAAAAUAACAUAAUUCUAUUUUAACUGGGGCGGUUUUAUUUUUAACAAAUAUUUUUGUUACAUAUGGGUUCUAAGAUCCUUCUUAUGAGGAUAAUUUGAUUAAGUUACUUUAGGGAUAACAGCAUAAUAAUAAUAGGGAGACCUCAUUUAUGUUAUUGAUUGUGACCUCGAUGUUGAAUUAGGAUUUCAUUAUAAAGCAUAAAUUAUUUUGAGAGUUUGUCCAACU